UAGGGAAUCUUCCACAAUGGNGAAGCCUGAUGGAGCAACGCCGCGUGUGUGAUGAAGGGUUUCGGCUCGUAAAACACUGUUGUAAGAGAAGAAUGACAUUGAGAGUAACUGUUCAAUGUGUGACGGUAUCUUACCAGAAAGGAACGGCUAAAUACGUGCUAG
rnacentral:rRNA from 1 species